rnacentral:rRNA from 1 species
UGCCAGCAGCCGCGGUAAUACGGAGGGUCCAAGCGUUAUCCGGAAUCAUUGGGUUUAAAGGGUCCGUAGGCGGAAUAAUAAGUCAGUGGUGAAAGUCUGCAGCUCAACUGUAGAAUUGCCAUUGAUACUGUUGUUCUUGAAUUAUUAUGAAGUGGUUGGAAUAAGUAGUGUAGCGGUGAAAUGCAUAGAUAUUACUUAGAACACCUAUUGCGAAGGCAGAUCACUAAUAAUAUAUUGACGCUGAGGGACGAAAGCGUAGGUAGCGAACAGGAUUAGAUA